UUAUUCCACAUGAAUCUGCCGAUUGC
rnacentral:piRNA from 1 species